rnacentral:rRNA from 1 species
GCCAGCAGCCAUAUCACCCUACAUCUCACAACUGGCAACCCACUGUGGUGUGAGCCUGGUCAGUACCUGGAUGGGAGACCUCCUGGGAAAAACUAAGGUUGCUGCUAGAA